AAAGAGAGGAAACGAGCGAAAACGAGCGACUGCUCACGAUUGCUAUGCUAGCGGAGUAUCGGCUGAACGCACCCAAUGUGCCUGAUUCAACGGAGCCUAACAAGCUGCUGAUUGUGCGCAUUGUCGAGACAAUUUGCAGUUGCUUCACCGGUCCACAGACCGAUGAGAGUGUGCAGCUGCAGAUUAUUAAAGCUCUGCUGACUGUAAAGACAAGCCAGCAUGUGGAGGUAUACGAUGGUACAGUACUGUUUACAACGUUUACUUGUCGUCGCGCAACCUGGUGAAUCAAACGUACAACAGCCUAUGCGACUCUCAUGCAGAUGAUCAACGUGAUCUUUGCGGAAGAGAACGUGAGGCUUGAUGGAAAACAUCAGCAGGAGGGUUCUGUCAAUAGCAAAUGGCAAAACUGAAGCUGAGCUAAGUUUUAGUUAGCUAAGUCUAACUAGCUCAUCUUCAUGAAACUUUACGUUGCGUGCGUCUAUUUAAUGACGAUGGAUGUAGAAAGCUCUCCAAAUCACUUCGAGAGGAUUAUCAAAAGCGAUAUCCUUAUAUCGCAUAUUUAAUCAGAUGUCGUCAGGGAUUGCUGUCGACGUUAGCUCACUUAGAUAGAUUGUGCGUGCGAGUUAAGUGCAAUCGAGAUGCUAUCAAUAAUCAUCUUGUAUCCGUUUGUGUGAGGGUAUUUUUGGAAAAAAAGAAAGCUUUCCUCCUGCAAAGAGUUUAAAAAGCUUACGCUAGUAAGCUUACGCUUACGCUAGUUGACGAGAAACAGGAUCCCGUGGAUAAUUUUCUAGGGAAGGUCCACGUGGAAAUGGACAAUGAUCCGAUUUGGCAAUCGGCAAGCGCCAACCAAUUAGAUUUGGCGAGAGUCGUGGUGGAAAGAACCGUCAUGGCACGGGUAUACCACAAUGCGCUCUAUCUAAAUGAAGAUGGAGAUGUAUAUAGGGACCGCAGCUUUUUCACGGUCAUAUUAAUAAGUUGGCAAAGGUCGUAACUUCAAAUCACAGGGACCUACGCAUUUCAAAAGUUUAUCAUUACGAAUGCCCCUGGUCAUGGGCGCAGGCUGAAUUGGCUGUGAUAUCGGCGUAUAAGACUCCUAGGGAUAAGUUGCAGUGUGUAUUUUGUUGCGCGACUACCAUCAUGAAUCUCUUCUCCAUGGCGUCGGAAAGAGGCAUACCUGCUGCCGACGAUCUGACUCCCGUGCUGGUCUACAGACUAAUCCGCCGUCGUUGUAUCGACUGUUCAAUAUGUAGACAGCUUUUACGGGAAUCGAUUGGAGGGAGAAGAGCAAUAUUGGUGGACGCAGUUCUGCGCCGCGAUCGAGUUAAGACAAUGGAUUAACAGUUUCUCAAGAGUAUCACGAUAAAUAAGAUUAGAUUCGAUGCUGGUGAUAAUGUAGAAAUGUAUCAUAAUCAUAAUUUGACGAUUUCAUAAAGAAGAAGACCAAUAUCUUGUGUAAAGCUAGCUGAACAGUUUUAUGCUUCCAGUAUCAAUUAAAAUUCUUAAAUAGCCUCUUAAAUAGUCUAACUGUUAGUUCUUUCGCACGUUAUUAUGUAACAUUAGCAAAGACUGAAUCAGAUUAUACGUAAAGUGUGGCUUUAUCUUUAUUUGUAACUCUAUUGUACAAUGUCACAGGACAUCGAAAAAAAAGAAACGUUUAGAUAUUCUAUAAUUUAUGUACAAUACAGAACUUAUAGAGAAUUGAUAACCAUUUAGCAGGAUAAACUGUGUUGGCGUACUCUUUCUACAUGCGCACCUUCCUCAAGAGCCGAGACUCGAACCAGAUCCGUGAAAAAUAUCGCCAAUUUCGUAGAGCUUUUGUACAGUUUUACUCUAGGAAUAUUGCGAGAGAAAGAAAGACUUCGGAGAUUUUUAUCUGAAUCGAUCGACAUAAAGAGAGAGCAUAGUAAAGAAGCUAUUAGCUUUCGAGAAUUUGAACGCAUAUAUAAUACUUUGUUAUAAUACUAUGAGCGAAUUAGUUUACGUCACUCUGUCAAGUUUUAAUAAUUACUAAUAAUAUAUCGAUAUCGGUAGUUUAAUAAUAAUACAUUUAAAAGCGCUCAAUUUAAAAGUAGGGCAAUCCUAAUAAACGACUGUAAAAAAAAUUCAAGGUGGAACGCAAUGGACAAUCCGGUUGCUCUGACAUGCUAACUUAAAUGGCAAAAAGUACUUCUCAGCGGUAAUGACAUUUGAGUCUCUUUUAAUUGGGUUGUGGCAGAGCGUUUGAGAUAACCUGCUCUUCAUCCUGCACAGCUGACGGACCUUCGGGAACACUAGCGCCUUCUUCUUUUAACAUGAAUAACUAAAAAUCUAUAUUUCGGCUAAUUACCGAGUUUAUAAAUAUUUAAUUAAAAUUAUCUGGGUGACUCACAAACUUUUUUAAUCACACUUCAUAACUCUUCAUACAAAAUAUAAACGAUUCCGUAUAAAAACUUUUAUUAAUUUAUCUAUUUCGGCUAAAUGCAUGGUGUAAAAAUAAUUAAUUAAUUACAAU